rnacentral:lncRNA from 1 species
AAUUUGGAUAGAAAUGAGACAAAUAGUCUCUUUAAGGAAAGCUUAAGUUGAAAAAGUCAAUCGGACGUUGAUUUGUGAGUUAGAAGGCUCGGAUGUGAUUUUCGAUGGUUUGGUUAGCUUCGGGAGAUGAUUAGUGACUUAGGAUAGCGAUCGAAAUUGAAUUUGGAGGUCCGGUGUAGAAUUAGGCUUGAAUUGGCAAAGUUU